rnacentral:misc_RNA from 1 species
GAUGAAUGGUGCUUUGGAAAUAGCAAAACCUCUGCAGGGUCCAAUGUAUGGUGUUGGGGCUCAUCUUGCUCCAGCAAACUCCUCCAAUAUCUGUGUUGGUUUAUCUGAUAUUGACGAAAAUGGAAUCAUAAGGAUGAUGUUGUGCCGUGUUAUAAUGGGGAAUGUUGAGGUGGUUUUCCCUGGAUCAAAUCAAUGCCAGCCAACCAGUGAAAGUUUUGACAGUGG